UCCCUGGAGGACUAGUGGUUAGGCCACAGUGCCCUCACUACUGUGACCUGGGUUCAAUUCCCAGCCAGUGCA
rnacentral:tRNA from 1 species